rfam:Schistosoma margrebowiei strain Zambia genome assembly, scaffold: SMRZ_scaffold0001641
GUACUGCUGAGGAGUCCCACAAUAGGACGAAAUGGCCGUCCAGUGC